ACCCGUCUAGCUCAGUCGGUAGAGCGUUGGCCUUUUAAGCCAGUGGUCGUGGGUUCGAGCCCCACGGGGGGUG
rnacentral:tRNA from 1 species